CUAGACUGAAUUAAUGCGGUAGCAGGAAGUUGGGUAUAAUUUUCAAUUGCUUUCUGUUUGGUGAAAUUUAUCAUAUGCUCAAUCGACAAGACUCCACAUAUGAACUUACUGAUUACAAGUUUACAACCUGAGAUUAUAUCGACAGCAUCGAUCAUGUUGCCUUCCCAUACACCUUCCCCUCAUAUUGCGCUCAUUCCAUCUGCCGGAAUGGGCCAUCUCACCCCUUUCCUCCGGCUAGCUUCGCUGCUUUUAUCUCGAAACUGUAAUGUCACUCUUGUUACUGCCAAAUCCACUGUGUCUAAUGCAGAAUCUGACCACAUCUCUUUCUUUCUAACCACACAUCCUCGAGUCAAGCAUCUUGAAUUCGAUGUUAUUCCUCUUCACUCCUCCAAUCCAUCUGCCCAAGAUCCUUUCUUGAUUCAAUAUAACGCUAUUAGCCGCUCUGCCCAUCUUCUCCAUCCUUUAUUGUCUUCCUCAUCUCCGCCUCUCUCUGCCAUCUUCUGUGAUUUGCUGGUAGCUAAAAGUGUUGCCCGUAUUUCUGCUGAUCUUCGUAUUCCUUACUAUCUAGUCAUCACCACCUCUGCUAGAUUUCUAUCUUUCAUGCUUCACCUUCCAGUUCUUGUGUCCAAUCCUGAUAAAUUCAAUAGUAGCAUUGUUCAAGUAGAGAUUCCAGGCUUGACUCCAUUUUCUAUAGCAAGUAUUCCUCUACCAUUCCUGAACCCAAAUCAUCUUCUUGCAGCAAGUAUAAUAGCAAAUGUCGGAGUUGUCCCAGAAGCCAAAGGAAUUAUGGUUAACACCUUUGACUGGUUCGAAGCUGAAACGAUUGCUGCUCUAAACAAUGGUAAAGUUUUAAGCAAUCUCCCUCCAGUUAUACCCAUCGGACCAGUACAAGCUUAUGAGCUUCAGAAGGACCAGAGCCCGUACCUGCUAUGGCUUGACGACCAACCAGAAAAAUCUGUAGUUUAUGUGAGUUUCGGAAGCAGGACAGCCAUGUCUAAUGAUCAAAUAAGAGAAUUGGGAUAUGGAUUAGACAAAAGUGGCUGUAGAUUCUUAUGGGUAGUUAAGACAACCAAAGUUGACAAAGAAGAUAAAGCAGGUUUGGAAGAGCUGCUGGGAGAGUCGUUUUUGGAAAGAAUAGAGAAUAGGGGGAUGGUGGUGAAGGGGUGGGUGAAUCAGGACAAGAUUCUAGCUCAUCCUGCUACCGGAGGGUUCAUAAGUCAUUGUGGAUGGAACUCUGUGACUGAAUCAGCUGAACGAGGAGUACCUGUAUUGGCAUGGCCUCUGCAUGGAGAUCAAAGGGUGAAUGCGGAAGUUUUGCAGAAGGCAGGGCUGGGAAUAAUGGAGAAGACAUGGGGUAUGGGGACUGAAAGGUUGGUGAAGCACGAAGAGAUAGGUAAAAAGAUUGUGGAGCUGAUGGAUGAUGCAGAGCUCAGGAACAGAGCCAAGAAGGUUGGGGAAGAAGCUAGGAAAUCUACUGAACUUGGAGGAAGUUCUGAUGAAGCCAUCAUGGAAAUCAUUGAAAAAUUAACCUGAAUUAUGGGUGAAGUUUGGAACCUUUAUCCCUUCCUGGUAUCAAUGUAUGAAGAGGUUCUUCCAAAUGAAUAAAAUAUUAGCAUUAGUUAAUUACUAGAAAAUAUGUUUAUUACCUUUUUUUUCCCAACGAUAAAACAGAAUGCAAGGGCUUAUUGCAAGAGAGAGUUUCUCAGAUCAACUCACACAGAUUGAAACCAAAGAGCAAUUUUAAAUAAGCAAUGUAAUGGGCAACUCAUAUGCACCAUCUGAUAAGUAAUUACACACGGGAACAUGUUUGUUUCUGAGAGGAAUUAAUGGAAGUACAAAAAAGUAAUGGAAGAAUGUGGAUUUUGAUUUUAAUGGGAGAAUCAAAGGAGGCUAAGCAAUAUAAUUUAGGAUAAAAAAUCUGAUGUGCAUUUUGGCUAGAGACUACACUUCACACCAAAAAAAUCAUGACCAAUAGCAUUAGCAAUCAACUGUGAGUAGAGUCUCUUUUAAAGAGCAAACUAUGAGUUAGAAUGUUUCCUUGACCAAAGAGAUGAAAGUGAGCCAGAAAAAUACUGAUAGACAAAUAAUUAACAUAAAAAGAUUAAAUACAGGGCAAAUGAUCCAAAGGGAACUAUAGUGCAAAAUCUAUACAUACCAUUCAAGGAUGCAGGCUUGGCUCAAUUUGUUCUUUGGACAGAAGUGAACAGUGGAUAAAUCUGCUUGCUUGCUUGGAGAUCAUUUCAGUUCAAACUUUCUUGGCCUCCAAGUAUGCGUAAUAUGAUUGUCUUUGUUAUUUUCGUCUCUUACUCCCAGUAAGUAGGCAAAUUCAACGCAGCUGCUCUUGAGGAAGGGCAUUGUCUAUAAAAAAAGUUCAAUUGGUGGUUGCCAUUUUUGACUCUUCUCUACACAUGUGCGCAAAUGCACACACAUAUAUUUAGGCUUAGAGUCUUAGCAUUUUCAGAUCAGAAUUAAUCCAGCUGUUUCUCCCACCAAAGCCAAUAUAAUUAAAAAUGUUAAGUUCCAGUGACCAGAAACUUGCUCACAUAGCUCUCCUCCCAAGUGCAGGCAUGGGUCAUCU
rnacentral:misc_RNA from 1 species